UACAGAGGGGGCAAGCGUUGUUCGGAAUUACUGGGCGUAAAGGGCGCGUAGGCGGCCUUCUAAGUCAGACGUGAAAUCCCUCGGCUUAACCGGGGAACUGCGUCUGAGACUGGAUGGCUUGAAUCCGGGAGAGGGAUGUGGAAUUCCAGGUGUAGCGGUGAAAUGCGUAGAUAUCGGGAGGAACACCAGUGGCGAAAGCGGCCUCCUGGACCAGACCUGACGCUCAGAUGCGAAAGCUAGGGGAGUGAACGGG
rnacentral:rRNA from 1 species